AGAUCACAUUUUUUUAUUGCUCAGGGCAAAGAACAUAACUCUUAGUCCCAACUGGGAGCAAACGUGGAAAAUAGAAAACUCUCAAAUAUCCAUCAAGUGCCACCUUGGAGUGGCAUAUAAAGGUCAAUGCCCGAAGUUAGGGUGACCUUCCACAUGCUGACAUGGCUUCAUUUACUGCAAUGUGUCCUGUUAACAAAGUAAUCACAAGAACUUGGGUAACAGUUAAAAGUUUUUUUUGUUUAUAA